UGCACAAAAACAUGUGAACCACCAUCGUUUGGAAGAGAUUGUCAGUUACUCUGCAACUGUAGCAAAAACAAUUGUCAUCAUGCUUAUGGUUGUGAAAUACGUAAUAAAGCUGAAUACACCAUGUCCACCAACAAUACACCAACAAUUGUUAAAACAGAAAAUGAGACAUCAACAGAGCAUCCUUCAAGAACAAGGAAAGAUGCUUAAUUCAACACUAAAACUUAAAAACGAUGCAGAAUUUUAGAAAUAAAGGUUUAGACCAAAAUUGAAUCAAAAGCAGAG